GAUGAACGCUGGCGGCGUGCCUAAUACAUGCAAGUCGAGCGAACGGACGAGAAGCUUGCUUUUCUGAUGUUAGCGGCGGACGGGUGAGUAACACGUGGAUAACCUACCUAUAAGACUGGGAUAACUUCGGGAAACCGGAGCUAAUACCGGAUAAUAUUUUGAACCGCAUGGUUCAAAAGUGAAAGACGGUCUUGCUGUCACUUAUAGAUGGAUCCGCGCUGCAUUAGCUAGUUGGUAAGGUAACGGCUUACCAAGGCAACGAUGCAUAGCCGACCUGAGAGGGUGAUCGGCCACACUGGAACUGAGACACGGUCCAGACUCCUACGGGAGGCAGCAGUAGGGAAUCUUCCGCAUUGGGCGAAAGCCUGACGGAGCAACGCCGCGUGAGUGAUGAAGGUCUUCGGAUCGUAAAACUCUGUUAUUAGGGAAGAACAUAUGUGUAAGUAACUGUGCACAUCUUGACGGUACCUAAUCAGAAAGCCACGGCUAACUACGUG
rnacentral:rRNA from 1 species